GGAAUAUUGGACAAUGGGCGCAAGCCUGAUCCAGCCAUGCCGCGUGAGUGAUGAAGGCCUUAGGGUUGUAAAGCUCUUUCAGUAGGGAAGAUAAUGACGGUACCUACAGAAGAAGCCCCGGCUAACUUCGUGCCAGCAGCCGCGGGAAUACGAAGGGGGCUAGCGUUGUUCGGAUUGACGGGGCGUAAGGCGAACGUAGGCGGAUUGGUCAGUUAGGGGUGAAAACCCGGAGCUCAACUCCGGAACUGCCUUUAAUACUGCCAGUCUAGAGUCCGGAAGAGGUGAGUGGAACUCCUAGUGUAGAGGUGGAAUUCGUAGAUAUUAGGAAGAACACCAGUGGCGAAGGCGGCUCACUGGUCCGGUACUGACGCUGAGGUGCGAAAGCGUGGGGAGCAAAC
rnacentral:rRNA from 1 species